GAUGAAGAACGCAGCGAAAUGCGAUAAGUAAUGUGAAUUGCAGAAUUCAGUGAAUCAUCGAAUCUUUGAACGCACCUUGCGCUCCUUGGUAUUCCGAGGAGCAUGCCUGUUUGAGUGUCAUUAAAUUCUCAACCUCACCAGUUUUCUGAACUGUUCUCCGAGGCUUGGAUGUGGGGGUUUGUGCAGGCUGCCUCAGCGCGGUCUGCUCCCCUGAAAUGCAUUAGCGAGUUCGAUACUGAGCUCCGUCUAUUAGUGUGAUAAUUAUCUACGCCGUGGAUCGGGGCUUAGACUCGCUUCUAACCGUCCGCAAGGACAAUACCUUGACAAUUUGACCUCAAAUCAGGUAGGACUACCCGCUGAACUUAAGCAUAUCAAUAAGCGGAGGA
rnacentral:misc_RNA from 1 species